rnacentral:rRNA from 1 species
AACGAACGCUGGCGGCAGGCCUAACACAUGCAAGUCGAGCGAAGCCUUCGGGCUUAGCGGCGGACGGGUGAGUAACGCGUGGGAACGUGCCCUUUGGUACGGAAUAGCCCCGGGAAACUGGGAGUAAUACCGUAUGUGGUCGAGAGACGAAAGAUUUAUCGCCAAAGGAUCGGCCCGCGUUGGAUUAGGUAGUUGGUGGGGUAAUGGCCUACCAAGCCGACGAUCCAUAGCUGGUGAGAGAGGAUGAUCAGCCACGCUGGGACUGAGACACGGCCCAGACUCCUACGGGAGGCAGCAGUGGGGAAUCUUAGACAAUGGGGGAAACCCUGAUCUAGCCAUGCCGCGUGAUCGAUGAAGGCCUUAGGGUUGUAAAGAUCUUUCAGUGGGAAAGAUAAUGACUGUACCCACAGAAGAAGCCCCGGCUAACUCCGUGCCAGCCGCCGCCGUAAUAC